rnacentral:rRNA from 1 species
GAUGAACGCUGGCGGCGUGCCUAAUACAUGCAAGUCGAGCGAACAGACGAGGAGCUUGCUCCUCUGACGUUAGCGGCGGACGGGUGAGGAACACGUGGAUAACCUACCUAUAAGACUGGGAUAACUUCGGGAAACCGGAGCUAAGACCGGAUAAUAUAUUGAACCGCAUGGGUCAAUAGUGAAAGACGGUUUUGCGGUCACUUAUAGACUGAUCCGCGCCGAAUUAGCUAGUUGGUAAGGUAGCGGCUUACCAAGGCAACGAUGCGUAGCCGACCUGAGCGGGUGGUCGGCCACACUGGAACUGAGACACGGUCCAGACUCCUACGGUAGGCAGCAGUCGGGACUCUUCCGCAAUGGGCGAAAGCCUGACGGAGCAACGCCGCGUGAGUGAUGAAGGUCUUCGGAUCGUAAAACUCUGUUAUUAGGGAAGAACAAAUGUGUAAGUAACUAUGCACGUCUUGACGGUACCUAAUCAGAAAGCCCCGGCUAACUACGUG